GAUGAACGCUGGCGGCGCGCCUAACACAUGCAAGUCGAACGAUUAAAGCACCUUCGGGUGUGUAUAAAGUGGCGAACGGCUGAGUAACACGUGGGCAACCUGCCCCUUUCAUUGGGAUAGCCACGGGAAACCGUGGAUAAUACCGAAUACUUCGAGACUUCCGCAUGGAAGACUCGAGAAAGCUCCGGCGGAGAGGGAUGGGCCCGCGGCCUGUUAGCUUGUUGGUGGGGUAACGGCCUACCAAGGCAAUGAUGGGUAGCUGGGUUGAGAGACCGACCAGCCAGAUUGGGACUGAGACACGGCCCAGACUCCUACGGGAGGCAGCAGUGGGGAAUCUUGCACAAUGGGCGAAAGCCUGAUGCAGCGACGCCGCGUGCGGGAUGAAGGCCUUCGGGUUGUAAACCGCUUUCAGCAGGGACGAGGCGAAAGUGACGGUACCUGCAGAAGAAGCCCCGGCUAACCACGUG
rnacentral:rRNA from 1 species